rnacentral:rRNA from 1 species
AAUCCAUAGGUUAAUGAGGCGAACCGGGGGAACUGAAACAUCUAAGUACCCCGAGGAAAAGAAAUCAACCGAGAUUCCCCCAGUAGCGGCGAGCGAACGGGGAGGAGCCCAGAGCCUGAAUCAGCAUGUGUGUUAGUGGAAGCGUCUGGAAAGGCGCGCGAUACAGGGUGACAGCCCCGUACACAAAAGCGCAUGUGCUGUGAGCUCGAUGAGUAGGGCGGGACACGUGGUAUCCUGUCUGAAUAUGGGGGGACCAUCCUCCAAGGCUAAAUACUCCUGACUGACCGAUAGUGAACCAGUACCGUGAGGGAAAGGCGAAAAGAACCCCGGCGAGGGGAGUGAAAAAGAACCUGAAACCGUGUACGUACAAGCAGUGGGAGCACCCUUUGGGUGUGACUGCGUACCUUUUGUAUAAUGGGUCAGCGACUUAUAUUCUGUAGCAAGGUUAACCGAAUAGGGGAGCCGGAGGGAAACCGAGUCUUAACCGGGCGUUAAGUUGCAGGGUAUAGACCCGAAACCCGGUGAUCUAG